GACGAACGCUGGAGGCGUGCUUAACACAUGCAAGUCGAACGAUGAAAUGGAGCUUGCUCCAUGGAUUAGUGGCGAACGGGUGAGUAACACGUGAAUAACCUGCCCUUAAUUUUGGAAUAACCCAGGGAAACCUGGGCUAAUACCGGAUAAGUAAACCUGUGGCAUCACAUGGUUUUGGAAAGUUUUUCGAUUAAGGAUGGAUUCGCGGCCUAUUAGCUUGUUGGUGAGGUAAUGGCUCACCAAGGCGACGACGGGUAGCCGGCCUGAGAGGGUGAACGGCCACACUGGGACUGAGACACGGCCCAGACUCCUACGGGAGGCAGCAGUGGGGAAUAUUGCGCAAUGGACGAAAGUCUGACGCAGCGACGCCUCGUGAGGGACGAAGGUCUUCGGAUUGUAAACCUCUUUCAGCAGGGACGAAGCGAAAGUGACGGUACCUGCAGAAGAAGCACCGGCUAACUUUGUGCCAGCAGCCGCGGUAA
rnacentral:rRNA from 1 species